GGGGGCCUUUGGAGGAAGGCAGAAGGUUCUAGUGCAAGGAGGUGAACCCCUUUCCCUCUCACCUCCCCCCAUCCCCAUCCCUACCCACCCCCCAACACACACACACACACGGCCAUGGCUGGGACAGUUAGCAAGUCCUUCCUCCAGCCUGGUCAGACCCAGAGCAGGAAGAGCGCUGUGACAGAGUCCCCUCCCAGAGCCAUGCCUCAGCAGGCUAUUCCCAGGCUGCUCACAAAGGCCCCAUGAAGAACCAGGGCAGGAAUCCAUUUGCCAUGUGCCCCCAUUUUCUAGACACGGACACUGAGUCCCAAAAGGUGAUGUGACAAGCUGGCUAAGAGCCAGGCCUUCUGCAUUCACAGCCUGCCAAGGGGGCCAAGGCGGAGCCACAGUUUCUGCCUGCACAGCAGCCGUUCCCUUCCCUGCUGAGAGGAGGAGGCAGCUCUCCUUUGGUGAACUACAAAGGGAUGUUGUUGAAAAGGGAUGCUCCCGACCAUGAGUGGUCACAUGACCCAAGCCUAGCCAAUCAGAUUCACAGGGAGGGUUUGGGACAAGCUGGGUACCCUAAUUUCCACCAAUGAGAGUCAGGCCUGGGAGUUUUGCUGGAACCCUUGGUUCUGAGAAGGCCAGCUUCUUGAAAAAUGCCCCUGGAGUGUUCUUGGGUUGCUGAAAAGCAGGCCCUGAGAGGAGGCCAGGAGGACAAGGGAUAUUGGGGGUGAUUCCUGUGAAAGAUAAAAGGUGGAGGAAGCAGAACUGGGAAGAAAAGCCUUCAGCCCCUGACAUGAAUCUGACGGCAGCUAUCACAGCGAGACUUGACCUUUGUACAUCAAAGGAGGCUUCUUUACACCCCGCACAGCUUGGAAGGAGUCAGUGAGCAGAACUAGGCCCAGCCGCUGCCUUUGGUUUGUCUUCCUCUGAAGGAAAAAUACGCCAGCAAAGACAACGUUCUAUAA
ensembl:lncRNA novel transcript